rnacentral:rRNA from 1 species
CCACCUACGGGGGGCAGCAGUAGGGAAUAUUGCUCAAUGGGGGAAACCCUGAAGCAGCAACGCCGCGUGGAGGAUGAAGGUUUUCGGAUUGUAAACUCCUUUUGUUAGAGAAGAUAAUGGCGGUAUCUAACGAAUAAGCACCGGCUAACUCCGUGCCAGCAGCCGCGGUAAUACGGAGGGUGCAAGCGUUACUCGGAAUCAAUGGGCGUAAAGAGCGCGUAGGCGGGAUAGCAAGUCAGAUGUGAAAUUCUAUGGCUUUAACAUAGAAACGCAUUUG